rnacentral:tRNA from 1 species
GCCGGUAUAGUUUAAUGGUAAAACAGAGCAAUGGUAAUGCUCAGCUCCAAGUUCGAUCCUCGGUACCGGCACCA